UACGUAGGCAGCGAGCGUUGUUCGGAGUUAUUGGGCGUAAAGGGCGCGUAGGCGGUUUGGCAAGUUUGGUGUGAAAUCUUCGGGCUCAACUCGAAGUCUGCAUCGAAAACUGCCGGGCUUGAGUAUGGGAGAGGUGAGUGGAAUUUCCGGUGUAGCGGUGAAAUGCGUAGAUAUCGGAAGGAACACCUGUGGCGAAAGCGGCUCACUGGACCAUUACUGACGCUGAGGCGCGAAAGCUAGGGGAGCAAACAGG
rnacentral:rRNA from 1 species